GACGAACGCUGGCGGCGUGCUUAACACAUGCAAGUCGAACGGAAAGGCCCUGCUUUUGUGGGGUGCUCGAGUGGCGAACGGGUGAGUAACACGUGAGUAACCUGCCCUUGACUUUGGGAUAACUUCAGGGAACUGGGGCUAAUACCGGAUAGGAGCUCCUGCUGCAUGGUGGGGGUUGGAAAGUUUCGGCGGUUGGGGAUGGACUCGCGGCUUAUCAGCUUGUUGGUGGGGUAGUGGCUUACCAAGGCUUUGACGGGUAGCCGGCCUGAGAGGGUGACCGGCCACAUUGGGACUGCGAUACGGACCAGACUCCUACGGGAGGCAGCAGUGGGGAAUAUUGCACAAUGGGCGGAAGCCUGAUGCAGCAACGCCGCGUGCGGGAUGACGGCCUUCGGGUUGUAAACCGCUUUCGCAUGUGACGAAGCGUGAGUGACGGUAAUGGGUAAAGAAGCACCGGCUAACUACGUG
rnacentral:rRNA from 1 species